rnacentral:rRNA from 1 species
UCAUUAACUGAAUCCAUAGGUUAAUGAGGCGAACCGGGGGAACUGAAACAUCUAAGUACCCCAAGGAAAAGAAAUCAACCGAGAUUCCCCCAGUAGCGGCGAGCGAACGGGGAGCAGCCCAGAGCCUGAAUCAGUGUGUGUGUUAGUGGAAGCGUCUGGAAAGGCGCGCGAUACAGGGUGACAGCCCCGUACACAAAAAUGCACAUGCUGUGAGCUCGAUGAGUAGGGCGGGACACGUGGUAUCCUGUCUGAAUAUGGGGGGACCAUCCUCCAAGGCUAAAUACUCCUGACUGACCGAUAGUGAACCAGUACCGUGAGGGAAAGGCGAAAAGAACCCCGGCGAGGGGAGUGAAAAAGAACCUGAAACCGUGUACGUACAAGCAGUGGGAGCACAGAGCAAUCUGUGUGACUGCGUACCUUUUGUAUAAUGGGUCAGCGACUUAUAUUCUGUAGCAAGGUUAACCGAAUAGGGGAGCCGAAGGGAAACCGAGUCUUAACUGGGCGUUAAGUUGCAGGGUAUAGACCCGAAACCCGGUGAUCUAGCCAUGGGCAGGUUGAAGGUUGGGUAACACUAACUGGAGGACCGAACCGACUAAUGUUGAAAAAUUAGCGGAUGACUUGUGGCUGGGGGUGAAAGGCCAAUCAAACCGGGAGAUAGCUGGUUCUCCCCGAAAGCUAUUUAGGUAGCGCCUCGUGAAUUCAUCUCCGGGGGUAGAGCACUGUUUCGGCAAGGGGGUCAUCCCGACUUACCAACCCGAUGCAAACUGCGAAUACCGGAGAAUGUUAUCACGGGAGACACACGGCGGGUGCUAACGUCCGUCGUGAAGAGGGAAACAACCCAGACCGCCAGCUAAGGUCCCAAAGUCAUGGUUAAGUGGGAAACGAUGUGGGAAGGCCCAGACAGCCAGGAUGUUGGCUUAGAAGCAGCCAUCAUUUAAAGAAAGCGUAAUAGCUCACUGGUCGAGUCGGCCUGCGCGGAAGAUGUAACGGGGCUAAACCAUGCACCGAAGCUGCGGC